rnacentral:lncRNA from 1 species
GAGUAUACCAUUUGAUAACAGAGGAAGAGAAUGGAGUAAUGCAGCUACAAGCGAAAGUACACCAAUGAUUGCUGGCUCCCACUAGAAGCUAGGAAGAGGCAGGAAGGAUUCUAUCCAGAGUCUCAGAAGAAGCAAGACCCCACUGACAUCUUGAUUUCUGACUUCCAGACUCCAGAAAGCGAGAAAAUAUAUCUGUUGUUUUAAGCUAUCCAGUGUGAGGUACUUGGUUAUGGCAGCUUCAGAAAACUAAUACAACAGCAAUUUCAAUUUCUACUUUAUCUUCCUAGCCCCAAGAGUACCAUGUGGCUAUUAGAGUACAGGAUUAUGUAGGCUCUCAAAUCCCUUCCAUGGUAAAAGAAUGAUUGGGCUUCCAGCAGUGGCCAAGAAUUGCCAGACGCUUAUGAGCGCCUGCUGCGAGAUGCUUGUACAGUGAAUGCUCAAUAAAGUGGUGGCCAUUAUAACCGCAAGCAAUGAGACUACAUAAAUAGUAAGAAACGAAAUAGAACAAGGGGCAGCGGGAGCAAAGAGAGAAACAAGGGCAGCUGAGGAAGGAAGCCUCAAUUCCCCGGAGGACAUCCGCGGGCGGAGGAAAUGUGAAUCUGCAAGUCGUUCUCCCAGACCCCGCUUAACGAUUCCCGGCCCUUUCUCCACUCCCUACAGCCCUCGGACCCAGCAACAACCGGAUCCUGUGCAGGUCUUCCCUGAGUCCAACGCGAUUCUCCUGGAUAACGUCAACCAGCUGAGCGAUUCUGAGCCUGCGCGAAGCUCCUCGGCGCUUCCAGUAAUGUCACGCUGGUGCGUGGGGCGGGACUUCCUCUCACGCGCAGGAAACGAGAAGGGCUUUUCCGCCGGAAAGAGAGUGGAUUUACUAGGAAGGUGGGACGUUGGAGGGGUGGCCGCAUGGAGUGAGUACUGUCUCUGGCCACCGAGCAGAGCCAGUGACAGCAGCGUCCUGGUAGGCAGGCAGGCGUAUCAGGUUUCAGAGGAUGCGGCUGGGAACGGGAGUAGAGGUGAGGGGUCGUUGCAUCUGUCGCGGUGUGUAUCUUUUGGGGGUUCAGCGCCACCAGCGACUUGGGCCUCAUUCAUCGCGCUUACAUUUCUCCACCUCAUUUGAAGAACGAGCUUCGUAGCCCACGGAGCUGAGGUAUAUGAGCUCCCUGAAAGCACAAAGCAGUUAUUUCCAUCUUCAGAUCAUUCAGAGAUUAUGAAGGCACAAACCCUGCCUUCAAUUUGCUUAUAGUCAAGUGGAGCAGACACAAGUCAAUGAUUGCAGUAUAGCCACUGAAGUAAUCUAAAAGAGGUGGGGAGGCCACAGCUUAUGUGAAUGACUUUCUCAGGAGUUAUAAAGUGAUACAGACUUAUCAGCAGGUUGCAGGUGAACAUGGCCUUGAGAUGUUUUCUUCUAAAUAAAUGAGAAAGAUGUUUCAACAAAGGCUCUUUAUGCUGAAUAAUUGUGAUGCUUGAAGUUGCUAAUCUGCUUUAAGUGGAUUUUAAAUGUCAGGCAAUUCUAGACAGUUUUUUCUUGGUCAAAUAAAAAUUUAAUUAAAACUUUAUACGUGUUGAGUUUUUAAUCCAUUUAUCCGUGUUCAUACUAACGUGUAGUAUUCCAUAAAGCCUAUUAGAACCCUGAAUUCAAACUUGCCUUCUCUGUGAUAUCCUGUUUCUUACUUGGUAGUUUCUAUUUCAGUAGCUGAGAACUUUUUUUUUUUUUUUUUUUGAGAUGGAGUCUUGAUCUGUGAGCCAUCUCGGCUCACUGCAAGCUCCACCUCCCGGGUUCACGCCAUUCUCCUGCCUCAGCCUCCCGAGUAGCUGGGACUACAGGCGCCCGCCACCAGUCCCGGCUAAUUUUUUUGUAUUUUUAGUAGAGACGGGGUUUCACCGUAUUAGCCAGGAUGGUCUCGAUCUCCUGACCUUGUGAUCCAUCCACCUUGGCCCCCCAAAGUGCUGGGAUUACAGGCGUGAGCCACCGCGCCCGGCCGAGAACAUUUUUAAAUAUACAUGAUAUGUAUCUUUUAAUUGUUUAUAACUGGAACUAUUUCUGUGCUUACAUCUGCUGUCCCUUGUUUCAGAGUAGACAGUCCAGCUUGGCAGGAUAGGUGUGUGUGUGUAUAACGAGUUAUUAAAUUGUCAGUGUGAAUUGUUAAUUCAGGAAUCUGAGCUGCCAUUUAUACGAGUAGGCAGAGUUUAGUAGGAGAUGAGAGUCUUUCAGUUUGUCAGACUUUGCAGGUGCUGGAAAACAUCAGAGGUUUUUUGUUUGUUUGUUUGUUUGUUUUUGAGACAGAGUUGCGCUCUUGUUGCCAAGGCUGGAGUGCAGUGGCACAAUCUCGGCUCACUGCAGCCUCUGCCCCCGGGUUCAAGCAAUUCUCCUGCCUCAGCCUCCUGAGUAGCUGGGAUUACAGGCGCCC